GACGAACGCUGGCGGCGUGCUUAACACAUGCAAGUCGAACGGAGGUAUUAUUGAAGCUUGCUUUAAUAAUACUUUAGUGGCGGACGGGUGAGUAACGCGUGGGUAACCUGGCCUGAAGAGGGGGAUAACACCGCGAAAGUGGUGCUAAUACCGCAUGACGUUAUCGGAUCACAUGGUCUGAUAACCAAAGGAGUAAUCCGCUUUAGGAUGGACCCGCGUCUGAUUAGCUAGUUGGUGGGGUAACGGCCUACCAAGGCGACGAUCAGUAGCCGGCCUGAGAGGGUGAACGGCCACACUGGGACUGAGACACGGCCCAGACUCCUACGGGAGGCAGCAGUGGGGAAUCUUCCGCAAUGGACGAAAGUCUGACGGAGCAACGCCGCGUAAUGAAGAAGGCCUUCGGGUUGUAAAGUUCUGUCUUCAGGGAAGAAAAAAAUGACGGUACCUGAGGAGGAAGCCCCGGCUAACUACGUGCCAGCCGCCGCGGUAAUAC
rnacentral:rRNA from 1 species